AUGAUCCGGCCGGCGCUCUCCGGAGGCUGCCUGGCCGGAGAGGCUGCGGGGAGCGCAGAGCCCACACCCGCGCACAUAAUCCCCGAGAGCAUGCUCAGUGCAGCCCUGGGAACUUCCUGCCGAGUCGCGAGCCGCCCCGGCCCCCUCCUGGCCCCCUCCCGGCCCGCGGCUGGCAAACUGGGGGGCGCGGCGCCCUCCACGCUGCUCUCGCCGGUCGCCCCCGCGGCCGAGAAUGGGGGCGUGGACGUUACCCCAGCUUCCCGAGGUCAGGUCCGAGGCCGGGUGGCCAGAGGCCUGGCGGCUGGGAGCAUCCAGCUGACUGCCCCCGGGGCAGAUUUGGGCGAGGGGAAACCUGGGGACACCUGGAGGGAGGUAGUGGAGCUGAGGAAGGUUGAGGUGGCGAGCUGCUCGGAGGAUUCGGGCAUGGUCGAAAGAAGGAAGUGGUCCCCUGCGCACGUGGUGCUGCGAGUGGCACGGAGGGUGCGGGCCGCGGUCUGCAGCCUGCGCGCCGUCUCUGCGCCCAACGUGCCCUGCCUGCCGCGGCCCUGGGGACUGCGGGCGGGCGCCAUCCGGGCGCUGCGCACCGGACUCGCUCUGCUGUCGGGUCGUAAAUUCACAGACAAACAUGAAUGGGUGACACCAGAAAACAGUGUUGGGACAGUGAGAAUCAGCAAUUUUGCCCAGGAAGCUUUGGGAGAUGUUGUUUACUGUAGUCUGCCUGAAGUUGGGACAAAAUUGAACAAACGAGGAAUUUGGUGCUUUGGAAAGUGUGAAAGCUGCUAGUGAACUCUAUUCUCCUCUAUCAGGAGAAUUAACUGAAAUGAAUGAAGCUCUAGCAGAAAAUCCAGGACUUGUCAGCAAAUCUUGUUAUGAAGAUGGUUGGCUGAUCAAGAUGACACUCAGCAGCCCAUCGGAACUAGAUGAACUAAUGAGUGAAGAAGCCUAUGAGAAAUGCGUAAAAUCUAUUGAGGAGUGAAAAUGGAACCCCUAAAGAAACUAGUUUGA